rnacentral:rRNA from 2 species
CUGGUGUCAGCCGCCGCGGUAAUACCAGCACCCCGAGUGGUCGGGACGAUUAUUGGGCCUAAAGCAUCCGUAGCCGGUUCUACAAGUCUUCCGUUAAAUCCACCUGCUCAACAGAUGGGCUGCGGAGGAUACUAUAGAGCUAGGAGGCGGGAGAGGCAAGCGGUACUUAGUGGGUAGGGGUAAAAUCCGUUGAUCCAUUGAAGACCACCAGUGGCGAAGGCGGCUUGCCAGAACGCACUCGACGGUGAGGGAUGAAAGCUGGGGGAGCAAACCGGAUUAGAUACCCGGGUAGUCCCAGCUGUAAACGAUGCAGACUCGGUGAUGAAUAGGCUUCGUGCCUAUUCAGUGCCGCAGGGAAGCCGUUAAGUCUGCCGCCUGGGGAGUACGGUCGCAAGACUGAAACUUAAAG